rnacentral:rRNA from 1 species
AGAGUUUGAUCCCUGGCCUCAGAAUGAACGCUGGCGGCAGGCCUAACACAUGCAAGUCGAACGGGAUUAAUCUUCGGAUUUUUCUAGUGGCAGACGGGUGAGUAACGCGUGGGAACCUACCUCAAGGUACGGAAUAGCUCGGGGAAACUCGAGGUAAUACCGUAUACUUCCGAGAGGAGAAAGAUUUAUCGCCUUGAGAGGGGCCCGCGUUAGAUUAGCUAAUCGGUGAGGUAAUGGCCCACCAAGGCUGAGAUCUAUAGCUGAUCUGAGAGGAUGAUCAGCCACACUGGGACUGAGACACGGCCCAGACUCCUACGGGAGGCAGCAGUGGGGAAUCUUGGACAAUGGGCGAAAGCCUGAUGCGGCAACGCCGCGUGCGGGAAGAAGGCCCUAGGGUUGUAAACCGCUUUCAGCAGGGAAGAAGAUGACGGUACCUGUAGAAGAAGGUGCGGCCAACUACGUGCCAGCAGCCGCGGUGACACGUAGGCACCAAGCGUUGUCCGGAUUUAUUGGGCGUAAAGAGCUCGUAGGCGGUUCGGUAAGUCGGGUGUGAAAACUCUGGGCUCAACCCAGAGCCGCCACCCGAUACUGCUGUGACU